GACGAACCGAGCGAACGUUGUUCGGAAUCACUGGGCUUAAAGGGCGCGUAGGCGGGUGCUCAAGUCCGGGGUGAAAUCCUCCAGCUCAACUGGAGAACUGCCUCGGAUACUGGGUGCCUCGAGGGUGGCAGGGGUAUGCGGAACUAUCGGUGGAGCGGUGAAAUGCGUUGAUAUCGAUAGGAACUCCGGUGGCGAAGGCGGCAUACUGGUCCACUUCUGACGCUGAGGCGCGAAAGCCAGGGGAGCAAACGGG
rnacentral:rRNA from 2 species